UUGCAGGGAACCAAACAGCUGUUGGCACCAUCUGGGAAACCAGUGGUCAACUUACAAAAUCCAAAGGGGCCGUGUAAACUCAGGCUCAGUCUGGAUCCUUGUCUAUCUCUGAAGGAUUCUCUCUGGCUCACAGGAGAGGUGUGGAAGCAGGAGGAGGUGGUCUCCACAGUGCAGCAGAUGGAGGAGGGUGGAUCCAGCUGGAAAGGCUCCAGCCCACUGAGAUGAGGGCUGGGAAGAGGACCUGCAUCUAGACUUGGACUUGGAAAGAUGAUGAGACAUCAUUCUUACCAUUAAUGGCAGGAAGCAAGGUCAUAUUUGGUAACGAUGUGAUGUUAUAGGUUUUAUAAAGUGAAAGUUACUCUGAGUGGAAGAAGUUCUCAUCACAAUGCUUGGGAUCAAGUUCUGGCCUUGCUAUUUACCAGCUUUGGUAUCUCUGGAAAACAACCACCUGACUUUUCCUAUUUUUUAAGACAUAAUCAAUAAUUGUUUCCCCGGUGUAAUAUUGUGGAUCUGACUUCAUGUGUCACUAAGAACAGGAGAUCCAAGACUGCUCUUCUGGGGAUGAGUGUUGAAGGAGGGAAAUAAAGCAGAAAGAGAAUUGAGAUAUUUAUGUCAGCACACGCUAUAUCACUACUUGAGAUAAUCAACAAAUUUGUAGGAAUUUGUCAUGUCUACUCAUAUCUGGGCAAAGUUAGGAAAUUACAAAAGAUAAAGAAAAACUGCUGGAACAAAGGCUUAAUGAAGCUUGGAAGAAACCUGCAUCCUCAGGGAUUUGGAGAAGGUUAUACUGGAACCUGUGUGAAGGCUGAGACAACUGUCCCUUUUGUGGUGGCCUGAGGGGAUUUUCUUAAUCCCAAUGUUGCCCUGAAAUUUAUGUCCAGG
rnacentral:lncRNA from 1 species